AUUUUUGAUCCACUUGAGAACAAACAUAGUUUGUUUCUUUUCCUUAUUCGUCUCAGAGUGAUAGUGCAGAGUGGGGUUUGUGGAAAUUUAUUUAUUAUACCAGCCCGAUCACAUUUGGCUACCCCUGAUGAUCAUCAAGUGUCUCUCAAAAGUUGUAUUUGAUGUCCUGAUUGCAAGCAUAUUCCAAAUUCUCUUGAUGGGUCUGCAACACAUGGAAGAGGGGGACUACAGAAUUGUCUGCACAUGUCGCUGGAUGAAUAAUGUUCAGCGUUUAACUAAGCAAGAAUUUUGCAAAAUGAUAAUGAUUGCUUGGCAAGAGUACAAUGUCUUACGUUACUUUAAACUAAAUUGCAUCAUAAACAUACAAGAAAUCAUUCACAGUAACAUUUUUAGCGUGCGUGAUUAUUGCGGAUACCACAUUGUUCUCCAAUUGACAGAUCGAUUAUAAGCUCAGGAUUGUCUUUAAAGUGCCUUUGUGAAAAUAGCUUCCCUUUCUCCUCCUUUUGUAGAUCAGACAAAAAAGCACCCAUUGUGUUGUAGGCUUUGACUGAAACAAAGAAAUAUAUCCAAAGUUAUCUUAGUGGCGCCAACAACGCACAUUCAGAAACAUAAUACGACAACUGAGACGUGCGUAACCUUUCGCUCUCUAAGUAAGUCAUAUCAGCUGUGACAUCUCAAGUUUUCAAAGGUAUAACAAUGGAAGACAUGAAUAUAAGCAAAGACAGGUCAAUAUAAAGUUAAUUUGACAGUUCUGUAAAGAUUCGUGUAAGCAUUUCUCGAAUGGUUUUAUUUUUAACUGAAAUUUGAGUUCACCUAAGGUCAAUGAUGGAAGUGUUCACUCGUAUGCCAGACCACUUUACGACACUCUCAAUCUUUAUAGCGAGGUGCGAAUUUUUCGUUUCGUGUCAUGUGAAUUAAGGAGGUACUCAUCAUAUGAUGGGAAACAAGCGCAGUUGUUUUGCCUAAACGAAAGUGUGUCUACUGCUAAUCAGCCAAGUGGCUCAUUUGCAAGAAUAUCGAGAGGAAAGAAAACGAAGAACCUCUGCGAUAAAACUAUUUUAAAGUGAAUAUGUAAUGUCCUCUAGGCAUUAUUCUUCGUGGCCAAGUAAGGCCCUCAGUGCAUGAAUUACCCCAAGGCAACAUUCCGUAUUCACCGGUUGGGUGUCGCAUGGUUCGGCAAAUACUCAGUCAUUAUUGCACAGACAAGCCCAGAACAUUAUAACCAUCAAGGAAUUAGGUUUUGCUGUAAUACCUUUUAAGAUAAUAAUCUAAAAACGGCGAAUCCAACAAAAGUCGAAGAUAAAUGCAGAGUAAGUCGAUCCAGAUUUAGAAGGCUACGAACAUGUCCCUUAAUUUUCUUCGAUUCUUUUACAGAACGCAAAGCUUUUUUGGUCAAAAGUUAACCUAAAUUAGACUGAUAGGGAUAAAUUGUUCGCAAUGUCCGCUAUUGCUAAUCAGUCAACAUCGACAGAACUGAAUUUUGUUUGAUGAUGGUUCGGGUCAUGUGCUACAAGGCCAACUCAGUCUAAUAUCUGCUUUAACUAAAAACAUGUAUUGGGAUCACCUUACAUGAGACGUGAAGACAUUUAAUUAACAGUCAAUACCAAGUGUCGCGCGUGCGUGACACUUAGUCUCAGUCGUGCCGUGACGAAUGUUCUAGAACUGACGCGAAGCUUGUCGAUUCUUCAAGAGUCACGAACAAACGAUGGGCUUUAAUUACUAAAACUGCAAUAGUAAAAGAACGAGAAAACAGAAUAUUGCCAUAAACUCACUGAAGCUGAUCAAUGCAUAGUAUAAAUACCGUGUGCUCCUUUCAGUCGCUCCCAGUCACUACUUUAACAGUCUCCCUGCCUAGAUCAGGGUGCUGGCUCAGAGGUUAUAUAACAAUGGAUUGGCGUACAUAGGGAAGCCAGUUUUUUCAGAGGAUGCUGAAAUUUAAUAGUGAUCAAGAAGAGCCUCAGUCAUUCUUCGAGAACAUGAACUCCACUAUGCUGGCAAAUUGCCUCUCGCGAAUCUAUCAAUAUGCCAUAACGACCUCUACAAGAUUUUUCAACAAGAAAAUAGUUUAAAACAUUCCAUUUCUGGUCUUUUAAAUAUUUUAUGAACUUGUUUGAAGACCCUAACAGAAUGGUUCAUUCUUGACAUUUCCUAUGACAUCACGCAUUUCUGACAGGAUGUUCGCCUCGUUAGCUGAUUUCCAAUCCAAUACCAUAUGCUAUCACUAAUUUGCCUUAUAAGGCAAAUUGCCUUAAAAAUUGUUUCGUUUGUGACUUUCUGUAGUUUCGGGGUUUUAGAGUUCUCAAGAUUUUCUUUUUGAAAUAUUUUCAAUUUCAUUGCUAUGCAGAACAUAAUCGGUCUGUUGAAUGUAAGUUUCGCGCCAAUUAUUUAUAUAUAUGAAAAUCGGUCCAUGUUCUAUAUUUAUAAACGGUUGCACAUGAUACAACAUUUGGUAGUCAAAUUUCAAAGUCACUCUCUUUGUCCUAAGACAGAAAAAUGGUACGUUUCGGGAAAACAGAGGUAUCGAAGGUACAUUCUAAUUAUGUGUCUCCCGGUUUUCUGAUAUAUCCAAUGUCUCGAGAGUAGUUUUUGGAACGUGAAGUAUAGUUUAUUUUACGUUACAAUUAUCAUUUUAAGCUCAAGUUUCCAAGAAUGUGAUUGUUUGCUUUAAAAUUUACUUUUUUUGAGGAUUAAAUUGUACUUUUAUUUGUUCCAAACAUAUAAAGGUUAUUUUUAUAGCUACAUAAACAUAAGGUCUACUAGUUUACCUUACACGUAACAGGUGUGUACAGCGAGGGGUUAAUGUCCUGUUCCCACACUGGUUGAUAUCUGUCCAGAGUAGCAAGUGUAAUACUUGUCAUGUGGCUUGGAUUAACCCUCAUGUGAGCAUCAAGGAAGAAAAAGCCAUGAGAGUUGUGGCAUAAGGGAUAUGACGGCUCCUUUUUUUUCCUACAUAUUGGUAUAUUCAAAUUUCAAGUAUAUAGCAACAGAAAAAGGGAAGUGUUAGUAGAAGUUUUAGUCAAAGAGGGAGAUGUAGUAAGUGUAGAAGGUGUGGUGACAAUAGAAGGGAUGGUAACCACCUAGCUUAGAUUUAAUUUUGAACGUAAGAGGUUGGUAAAUUUGUAUCACUAGCAAUACAAGGUGUUGUAAAAGUCAAAGGUGAUAUGAAAUAUAGAAUACUUUAGAAUUGGCAGCAGGAAAUGUAGUCAUAAAUCUUUUAUAGUAGUAGCACUCGUAGGGAUAGAACAACAUGGAUUAAUGGUACAAGGUAAAGAUACUCUUGAUCAUCUUGUGCGCCAACGUAACGAACGAGAUAGCAGAAGUGAAAUUAGUGCUGAUUAGUAGAAGACAUAGUCCUAUUUAAAAGAGUAUCAUCAAUUACGAAUUUAGGAGCCCUCAUGAUGAUAUCAUCAAAAUAAACGAUUGACUGAUAAAAGUUGGAAUUAAAGA
rnacentral:lncRNA from 1 species